GGCCUCCCUCUGUGGGGUGAUCGAUCAUAGGGACCCCAGAUUGAAAACCCCGCAGAGGGAGGCC
rnacentral:pre_miRNA from 1 species